rnacentral:lncRNA from 1 species
GUAAGAUGAUGUUCAUUCGUGUUUUCUGUGUCUAGAUUACUUUUUAAAAGAUCAUGGUCAGAUGGAAACAUUCUUAGUGAAAGUCACUCGCCCACAUCCACCUCAAAAUCCAAUAUGGGCUUUUCUAGUGCUGGGUUAUCAGACAAGCCAAAAAGAGAAUGCAAAAUGCUUUCCGAGUCAACACCAGUAAUAUCAGCUUCUGAAAGUGACGUAACAUGUUCAAGGUACUCUUCUUUUCCUACUAAUGUGUACAUGUAUGCUUAAUUUUUUGUGUGAAUUUUUAAAUAAGAACUACCAAUUUUGUAUGUAGUAUGUGCUGCAUUAAUAUUUAAUGCAUCCUCUGUUUGGUCAAAAGGGUGGGAGAGUAGAUGGAACAGAAAAUGUGAUGUAUGAUUUUCCAUCAAAAAAGCACCUAUUUACCUCUCUGUUUUGUAGAUAGGAUAGAGAUGGGAGAGAAUUAACUUUUGAAAUUGGGGGUGAUUUAAGAUUGUUGUGUUUAUGCAUGUGUAGGGGGUGGGCUGGACUCAGAAUCCACCAUAUCAUUCCCUCCUGUUUACCCUUUUUCUUAACAGUGGAAACAUUUACUAUAUCCAAUUUCCAAUUCAUAAUUUCCUCUUACAUCUUCAUCACUUCAAUACUUCACAGGGUCACUUUUAGGAACUUCAUAGCUUCACCAUUUUUAGAUAUAACAAGCCCCAUCAUCGAAAAUGUUUGUUAGACUGUCAACAGAAGAAAAACAAAUCGUAGCUCAAAGCUGUCUGAUCCUUGGACAUUGAUUUUGAUUGAGUUCCAUAAAGUUGGGAAAAUUACUCUUCUUUUUUGCUCCGAGGACUGAGAUCAUAUUGCUUAAACAUUUUGCUAAACAACUAUUAAAGAUUAUGGAUUGAAUUUCCUGUCUAUUUCUUAUCUUUGAAGGUUGUGAACUUAUUGCAUUGUCUGCAUCUACGUUGGAAUCUGCUCGGUCUCUUCUGUUUGUUCUUGUAGUUCUUUUGUAUAAUAUUGAUUUUCUAGCAUCGACAUGGGAGGAUGAAAUAUCAUCUCUUGAACGAGUAGCUCUAUUGUUGUUUACAUUAUCCGGAGGAGAAGCUCAGCUCUACUGCUUUAUAGUUACUUGUUUUUUAAAUAUUUACCCGGAAUUUAAUAUGUGAAUUUGCACAGUUGUGUGCUUAUUUCAGUAUAAAUUUUAUCGGUUUACAGGAUACAGACUUGGGCAAUUUUAGAAUAUGGUAAUGUAUAAAAAUUUUACGUUUGUUUCAUUAUCUGCCAUCUUGUAUUGGUCUAGUCUGACAAACAAGCAUGUGCGUGCCCGCACAACAUCUCUGAAGAUGGAAUGAUGUCACCUAAAGAAUUUAAAGCUGGAAAUAAUUCAUUGAAAUGUGUCUUCUUUUGAUAUCAAAAGAAAAUUUCCUUGGCUAAUCUGUCAACAUUUUCACAUCUGCAGGUACACCCCUUCAGUGCCAUCUGUGGAGCUUCGUGCAGAAAUGCAGAGAGAUGGCUGCCUUGAACAUGAAAAUGUAGACACGAUUGACUGCUCGAACUUCGUUGACUUAGAUUGGCUUUCCUCUGGAACUUCAUGCGAGGAAGAGUCAUUGGAAAGGUACUCCUAUUUAGAGUCGCUUGAAUUUCUUUUUUCUUUAAGAUACUAUGGGUGAUGACUUCUUGGUGCUUCAUGGACGGGAGUAAUCUUUUCUAGAAAAAUGAAUGAUGUUACUUUGUUUCCUCGCUAUUGAAAUCUCUUGAAAAUAUAUGAUCAGAACCUUUGGCUUAUCCAGGGAAUGGACCAUUUCACAUUGAAACUUGCUAUUUCCCUUUUCUGUUAUUUGGCAAGCAAGUUAAGUUGCUUUAGAUCCAUUAUUCCUUACCCGUAUUAUCUUUCUUUUCUUGCAAGUAUGUACAGGUUUCUUUCGUAUAACUUUUCUGUGAAUUUGUAAUUGAUCUCAACUCUUUUCUUACAUUUGAGGUCUGUUUGACAUUGUUGUGGUUGAGGUCGUCUAUUCCUAGCUCUCAUCACCCUCUUUCACUAGUGCAGUUGAAAUUGUUAAUAUGGUUCUCAAUGUCUAUUCCGAAAUUAUUUUGAAUAUACAUGGCCUCCUUAUUUUAGCCUUCUCCAACUAAUCCUCCAUAAUCUCAUUCUUUCAGACUAGUAGAUAUAUUGUGUCUAGUUGCUCAAUUUAUCUAGAAAUGAAAACCAGGAAGGGUUUCUCAUGUCUGUAUUAUAAGAACAUUUCGUAUUGACGUUCGAAAUAUUUUUUCAACUUUAUUUAAUUAUUUUUUUAGAUUUUCUCUGAGAGAAGAGGUCAGUGGAAAGCUGCAAUCCAGUCCCAGGAAUUUUUUCGAACUCUACAGCGUUAUUACAGCAAUGCAUACAUGGAUGCAGAGAAACAAAAUGCCAUUAAUGUGUAAGUUAGUAGUGGUAACGAUCUUACUUAUGCUUUCUGAACUUUUACGUGAUAGAGAAGUCCUGGAUAAUGAGAUGGAUUGUGUGGGGGAGUUAAGGAACAUUCCAAUUUCAGCCAGAUUUUCUUUAUCCUCAAUUGAACAUGUUUCAAUGGAUCAAGAGAGAGUUUUGUCUGUCGUUUCAAAGACUUUCUUGUUUAAACUACCAUUCUUUUUUUUCAAGUUGAUCAAAUGACGCGUUCAUUGAAAUUAACGGUUCAUAUGUAUUUGAGCAGAUUUUUGGGGGAUUUUCUACCUCAACCAGGUAAACCGGAUGUGUGGGAACUGGAUUCUGACCAACAUUACAAUGUGGGGAGAUAUGGGCAGUCAAAUAUUGAUGAAAAUGGAAGGUAUGGUGGGAGAUAGUUAUCUGUGGAAAUGCUUAUAAUCUCUUUUACGUUUAUGGGAAAAUUUGCCCCAAUUUUCGCAUGCAUUUUUUGCCUUAGGACUUCCAUAACUAUCUGUGGAAAUGCUUAUAAUCUCUUUUACGUAUAUGGCGAAAUUUUACAAAAUUUUUGCCGAAGGACUUCCAUCUGACUUCUAGAUUGCCCAAAUUUUGAUUUGUUCGAUAAGCUAAAAAUUCAUGUUGGACCAAUAUAUAUAUUCUCUUCAGGAUGGAAUUGAUUUAUUUAUUACUGGUCCAAGAUGUACUGCUGUAUUUGUUGCAAACAAAUUUGUGGGGGACUAAUAUAUUUUUGUGAUAGCUCAGUAACUCUUUCUAUAGCCGUGUGGUGGUAAGAUGAUGUUCAUUCGUGUUUUCUGUGUCUAGAUUACUUUUUAAAAGAUCAUGGUCAGAUGGAAACAUUCUUAGUGAAAGUCACUCGCCCACAUCCACCUCAAAAUCCAAUAUGGGCUUUUCUAGUGCUGGGUUAUCAGACAAGCCAAAAAGAGAAUGCAAAAUGCUUUCCGAGUCAACACCAGUAAUAUCAGCUUCUGAAAGUGACGUAACAUGUUCAAGGUACUCUUCUUUUCCUACUAAUGUGUACAUGUAUGCUUAAUUUUUUGUGUGAAUUUUUAAAUAAGAACUACCAAUUUUGUAUGUAGUAUGUGCUGCAUUAAUAUUUAAUGCAUCCUCUGUUUGGUCAAAAGGGUGGGAGAGUAGAUGGAACAGAAAAUGUGAUGUAUGAUUUUCCAUCAAAAAAGCACCUAUUUACCUCUCUGUUUUGUGGAGAUAGUUAUCUGUGGAAAUGCUUAUAAUCUCUUUUACGUUUAUGGGAAAAUUUGCCCAAAUUUUCGCAUGCAUUUUUUGCCUUAGGACUUCCAUAACUAUCUGUGGAAAUGCUUAUAAUCUCUUUUACGUAUAUGGCGAAAUUUUACAAAAUUUUUGCCGAAGGACUUCCAUCUGACUUCUAGAUUGCCCAAAUUUUGAUUUGUUCGAUAAGCUAAAAAUUCAUGUUGGACCAAUAUAUAUAUUCUCUUCAGGAUGGAAUUGAUUUAUUUAUUACUGGUCCAAGAUGUACUGCUGUAUUUGUUGCAAACAAAUUUGUGGGGGACUAAUAUAUUUUUGUGAUAGCUCAGUAACUCUUUCUAUAGCCGUGUGGUGGUAAGAUGAUGUUCAUUCGUGUUUUCUGUGUCUAGAUUACUUUUUAAAAGAUCAUGGUCAGAUGGAAACAUUCUUAGUGAAAGUCACUCGCCCACAUCCACCUCAAAAACCAAUAUGGGCUUUUCUAGUGCUGGGUUAUCAGACAAGCCAAAAAGAGAAUGCAAAAUGCUUUCCGAGUCAACACCAGUAAUAUCAGCUUCUGAAAGUGACGUAACAUGUUCAAGGUACUCUUCUUUUCCUACUAAUUUGUACAUGUAUGCUUAAUUUUUUGUGUGAAUUUUUAAAUAAG